CACCUCAUUCCCCAAGUGUUUUUGCUUUCCCCACCACUCGUGGCUGAGGGGGAAGAAACCCACAACCCACACAGAAACCCUGGCGCCACACGGCUUCGCGUUUCGGUUUGCCAUUGUCAGAAAAGCCCAAGGAGGUCGCUGCCAGCGAUGACUGCAGAAAGAACCUAAAACCUCGUUUUGAGGAUGACUGACGUGUUGUUUUAGACAGAAAGUUUCAGCUAUGAACAUGAAUAAAUUCUUUCCAGCUCUUCAAGAGGGAAGUGGCGGCAGGAAGAAGGGUGACUUUCUCGUGGGAUCUGUGGUUUCAACAUCCAGUUCUGCAAGGUGCUGGCUUGGUUCUGCAAAUAGCCUCUAAGGUGCGACGUGACCAGCUCCCUCCAGCUCCCACGGCUGUGACGUCACUGCUAUGUCAGACUCUAACCUGAAACUGAGAGUUGAACAAACCCGGUCUCCUGUCAGUGGCUUUUGGCUGAAUCCUUUGUCAAUGCAAAAGGAAGAGAAACCAGGACAAAGGUUGACGUCUGGCAGAAGGCUUAUUUCUGAAGGGUAGGCUUUUGUGUGGGUUUUGUUAUUUGUUUCUUUAUUUGUUUCUUUUUUCCUCCUAAUUUCUCCAUCACGA